UGUUAAAAAUUGUUAUUUAUUUCUACUGUUAAAAAUCGGCUUCGCUGACAGUAACCAGACAAUUACACAUGGCAUGAUGUAUCUCAUGCUAAUGUAUAGGGACUAGUUUUUAACCGUAAAAAUGGAUGAAUGUUUUAACA
rfam:Gossypium raimondii Chr10_contig_9, whole genome shotgun sequence.